CAAGAAAUUAAGACGUGGAAAAUGUUGAUUACACAUGUAGGCUAUUAUACUGAAGGGUUGAUUUACUGAUAAAAAUGACUCUGCACUCUCUUACUUCGUGUUGCUUUUAAAGCUAUCAAGAAACAAAACUCUGUUUCAUAAUAGCUACAUUUUCCCCCAUAUUUUUUUCCCAGACAGAUUGUGAAAUUUCAAGCCUUUAUCCAACAUUUUGACACUAUUUUCCAAACCUUAACAUACAUAUUCGGAGUUACAGCAAAAUGUUGGUCAAACAAAAGUUAAAUGCCACCACACUAGGGUUUGGCAUCGUUUGAAUUUGAGCGAUUCCGGUUCCAAAUGAUUCUCGAUUCAGAUUCUUUUAGGGGUCUGGGUCCAAAAAGUUUGCAUGGUUUAAAUAAUUGGUGUCCAAAUUAUAAACAUCCAUGUUCUUAGCCGCCCCCAGCAUAGACUAAAAUGAACAUUUGACUCGGGGUUCUUUAUAACAAGUAUCAAUAUCAAACCUAUGAACUAAAAGGCAAUGUGUGCGGAACUAACCCAAUUGACUUAAUAUUCAUUCAUUAAUGUCUCAGCUAAAAGUUGAAUACAGCAUUGUUAAAUAGUUAUUUGCGACAGUUUUAUCACAUCAAAUGGUUUAUAUGGGCAGGUUUUAACUUGACUUCCCGUUUUAAAUAUGUAGCCUUUUAUUUUGAAGGGUACGCACAGGAACUCAGCAUUUUGGCACAAAAAGUAACUUCACACGACACCGGGGAAUUCUGAAAACGAAAGUAAACCUAUACGGCAAGAAAAAAAAGUAGUGAAUGAAACCAAAUGCUAUAAAACGUUAACUCCUUUACCUACCAACUGAUGAGGCACAAGUUUGAAUUCCACCAUGAAACACCACAAGGUGACAGUAUUGUUCUACAAACACCUUUGAGGAAAUGACGCCGACGUGCCGCCGUCUGCUGUUCAUCUCGGGGCCCAGGAACCAACUGUUCUUACUGAUGGAGUAGCACUCGAUGCUGCGAAACGGGUCACCAGAGCCCCCACGCCCACCCACGCAGAACAGAACUCCUGAG